CUAAAAUAUUAUAUAUUUAUAGUCUAGUUAAAGAAUUGAAUUUGAUUAAUCCCUAUCUCCACGAGCCGACGGGUUUUAUGUAUUUAAAUAUAGACGUCAGUUGAUCCAAAAAGAGUAUUCAAACAGAAAACCUAGUUGAGUGGUAGCGUACACUACAGAAUUUUGUAAUUCUACAAUAAAUUAACAAAAUCAUCCAAACCCUACCGCCC